rnacentral:rRNA from 1 species
AGUGAACGCUGGCGGUAGGCCUAACACAUGCAAGUCGAACGGCAGCACAGGAGAGCUUGCUCUCUGGGUGGCGAGUGGCGGACGGGUGAGGAAUACAUCGGAAUCUACUCUGUCGUGGGGGAUAACGUAGGGAAACUUACGCUAAUACCGCAUACGACCUACGGGUGAAAGCAGGGGAUCUUCGGACCUUGCGCGAUUGAAUGAGCCGAUGUCGGAUUAGCUAGUUGGCGGGGUAAAGGCCCACCAAGGCGACGAUCCGUAGCUGGUCUGAGAGGAUGAUCGGCCACACUGGAACUGAGACACGGUCCAGACUCCUACGGGAGGAAGCAGUGGGGAAUAUUGGACAAUGGGCGCAAGCCUGAUCCAGCCAUACCGCGUGGGUGAAGAAGGCCUUCGGGUUGUAAAGCCCUUUUGUCGGGAAAGAAAUCCAGCUGGCUAAUACCCGGUUGGGAUGACGGUACCCAAAGAAUAAGCACCGGCUAACUUCGUGCCAGCAGCCGCCGUAA